rnacentral:tRNA from 1 species
GUCACUUUGGCGGAGUGGUUAACGCGUUGCCCUGCUAUUACGUCAUAGUAUAGUGGUAGGCAAUCCAUUCGUGGGCGCAGGUUCGAAUCCUGCAGGUGACG